AUGACUCAAGAGAAUACCAAGUUGUGUGACUUUUCCAACACUAAUAAUAAUGAUUUUAUUAGUGCUCCGAUUGCUCCCGCCACUAGUGCGGAAUCUUGUGAAAUUAAUGCCGCUUUGUUGAAUCUUGUAAUGAAAGAACAAAUUUCCGGCCUUCCUAGUGAAGAUGUCGCAUCCCAUCUAAAUACUUCCGUUGAGUUGUGUGAUAUGCAAAAGAAAAAGGAUGUGGAUAAUGAUAUUGUUAAAUUGAAGCUAUUUCCGUUCUCACUACGAGAUCGUGCUAAAACUUCGUUUUCAUCUUUGCCUAAAAAUAGUAUUGAUUCAUGGAAUAAGUGUAAAGAUGCUUUUAUUUCCAAGUAUUUUCCUCCCGCUAAGAUCAUCUCCCUUAGGAACGAUAUAAUGAAUUUUAAUUAA
rnacentral:rRNA from 1 species